rnacentral:lncRNA from 1 species
CACCAUUGUCGGUGUCGGUGCCACCACCGCACCACCACCACCGCCCACACCGUCACCCUCGUCACCACCAACAAUUUCCUUCACUCAAAUAUCAUUACCAAUUACAUCAUACACAAUCACCGGCGCCUUCUCUUCUUGAACCCAUUGCUGGACUUAUCCAUAACUGCUAGCGAGAACCUCACAAUCAUCUGCCCAGCUUCCAUUAGCACAACCGCUUCAUUUUCAUCUUCUUCGACCAAGUUUUUCUGCGCUAAGGUAAAAAAACAUGAUCCAUUUUUCUUUUGCUUAAU